rnacentral:rRNA from 1 species
AACGAACGCUGGCGGCAGGCCUAACACAUGCAAGUCGAGCGAGAUCUUCGGGUCUAGCGGCGGACGGGUGAGUAACGCGUGGGAAUAUGCCUCUUGGUACGGAAUAGCCUCGGGAAACUGGGAGUAAUACCGUAUGUGCCCUUUGGGGGAAAGAUUUAUCGCCAAGAGAUUAGCCCGCGUUGGAUUAGGUAGUUGGUGGGGUAAUGGCCUACCAAGCCGACGAUCCAUAGCUGGUUUGAGAGGAUGAUCAGCCACACUGGGACUAAGACACGGCCCAGACUCCUACGGGAGGCAGCAGUGGGGAAUCUUAGACAAUGGGGGCAACCCUGAUCUAGCCAUGCCGCGUGAGUGAUGAAGGCCUUAGGGUUGUAAAGCUCUUUCAGCUGGGAAGAUAAUGACGGUACCAGCAGAAGAAGCCCCGGCUAACUCCGUG